GUGCUUGCUUCAGCAGCGCAUAUACUAAACAUUGGAAUGAUACUGAAGAGAUUAGUAUGGGCCCUGUGCAAGCAUGGAAUGCACACGCAUGAAGCAUUCCAUAUGUUU
ensembl:snRNA U6 U6 spliceosomal RNA